GGAGAGGUGCCAGAGUGGUUGAACGGACCGGUUUCGAAAACCGGCAGAGCGCGUAAGCGUUCUCGGGGGUUCGAAUCCCCCCCUCUCCG
rnacentral:tRNA from 1 species